rfam:Yersinia ruckeri strain 37551 YRO1b0000010, whole genome shotgun sequence.
UUUGGCAUUGGCCUUACGCGCCAUAAUACCAUUACCCACCGCAUGUAACAGGUGAGUCUUACCCAAACCGGUACCGCCAUA